rnacentral:rRNA from 1 species
ACGGCAGCACGGGAGCAAUCCUGGUGGCGAGUGGCGAACGGGUGAGUAAUAUAUCGGAACGUGCCCAGUCGUGGGGGAUAACGCAGCGAAAGCUGUGCUAAUACCGCAUACGAUCUCUGGAUGAAAGCGGGGGACUCGCAAGGGCCUCGCGCGAUUGGAGCGGCCGAUAUCAGAUUAGCUAGUUGGUGGGGUAAAAGCCCACCAAGGCGACGACCUGUAGCUGGUCUGAGAGGACGACCAGCCACACUGGAACUGAGACACGGUCCAGACUCCUACGGGAGGCAGCAGUGGGGAAUUUUGGACAAUGGGCGAAAGCCUGAUCCAGCAAUGCCGCGUGCAGGAUGAAGGCCUUAGGGUUGUAAACUGCUUUUGUACGGAACGAAACGGUCUCUCUUAAUACGAGGGGCUAAUGACGGUACCGUAAGAAUAAGCACCGGCUAACUACGUGCCAGCAGCCGCGGUAAU